rnacentral:lncRNA from 1 species
GCCCAUCACAGCUCAACCUGCACAAACAUAAACAACGAAGGGCUAAGUACAAGAGUACUUAGUGGGCAGUUGCCAAGCUUAUAACAUAAUAUCAACAACAAAACACAACUUCGCAUAAGAGGCAUAAGUUUCUUUCAAAUCCUUUGCUCAUUAAACAUUUCCAUAUUCAUAAACAGCAUGAGCGCAUUCUUCAUCAUUAACAAUCAUAAACACGCAUCGUGUCGUGGAGAAGGCCUUCCCCAACGAACACGGGCAUCGCGCCGUGAAGGGGGCCUCCCUCAGCGGUCACGGCAUCGUACUAUUGAGGGAGGCCUCCCCCAAUAGACGCUGUAACACUGGCAUACUGGCAUCGCGCCGCGAGAGAGGCCUCCCUCAGCGGACACGGGCAUCGCGCCGUGAGGAAGGCCCUCCUCAGCGGACACGGCAUCGUACUGUUGAGGGAGGCCUCCCCCAACAGACGCAAGCAUCAAACAUAAGCAUAAACUUAUCAGCGUAAUCAAGCGUAAAUUACAAGGCGUAAAUAGAUAAAUAGCAUAGCGUAAAUCAUUUAACGUGCAGCAUAAUAAAGCUUAACUCAUUUAAGCGUAAUAAAGCAUACCAUACUUGAAGAUCCAAUUUGCAUUUUAAAGCAUAACACUUGCAUAGCAUUUUAUUUACGCGUAAGAAAUUGCCCACCUGAUAGCAAAGUUUUGCUAAGGUACUCUAACUCCUUGUGUAGUUCUUACUCUCGCGCUUGACCUUAAUCACGAGAAUAUAAAAUAAGACAUUGCCUCGAGGAAAAUUCUUAAUUAAUGAGAAAGCGUAAUUUAACUAUGCAUGAAUCUGGUAUGCAUGAACUAAUACUCUGAGCGAUAAUCGGGAAUUCUACUAUUAAUCCUCGUUAAUAGAUUUAGCUAAUUCUCGUCUAGCGCGGUCGAAUAAAACUGUGAUUCUUCCUUCCUCAUCGGAAUAUUCUAGUCGUGAAAUAAACCUCGCAUUUGUACUUGAUUGAAAAAGGACUAACUCGGCUUUAAACGAGGUGUGACCUUGUAGAAAUUAUCGGGCUUUUCGAUAGAAGCAUCAUUACUAGCGUAACCUCAAAUAAUUAAUAGGCUCAAAAGAGAGUAGCCAAUUAAUUAAAUAAACAAGUGGCUUUAAUGAAAUAAACAAUGUCAGCUCGCUUUAAAGUCUGAAGUCCAAAACAAUAAUUAAUAAACUGGGCGGCUCAUUUACUGAAUACGAAUCGGCUCACCGACUGAUAAAUAAUUGGGCUCCAUCAAAAUUUGAUACUGCUAGGCUUAGCUCAAAGGAGUAACUUCAGCUCAAGCUUUAAAAGAAUUAAAGCCCAACUUAAAAAGUCUUCGACCCAAAAUAAUUAAAAUAGGGGUCCAAAUAAUAAUUAAUGUGGACUGAAAAGAAUUAAUCUUAGCCCAAAAAGGCAAUUUAAUCGGCCCAAAUGAUGAAUUAAACUGGCCCAACGAAAUAUAAAUGGGACUAGAAUAAUAGCCCAUCAUAAAAUAUGCAUCAGCCCAACUCCUUAAUUAAAUCGAGCCCAAUAGGAUUAAUAAGAAGGGCCAAUUAAAUAAAAGACUGGCCCAGUUCGAAUUUAAAUGAAAGCCCAAUCUUUUAUUAAAAAAUCGGCCCAAGACUCGGCCCAACAUAAAGAAAUAACACGGCCCAGAUGAUUUAAUUCGGCCCAGUUCGAAAUUAUUAUAUGGAAGCCCAAAAACCAUUAAAAACAAUUCUCAGCCCAAAAUUUUAAAAAGGAAUAAGCCCAAAAUUCUUUAAACAAUUAGAGCCCAUCAGCAAAAUAAAGAAUAAGGCCCAAGCUUAAAAGAAUUCGGCCCAAAAGAAAAGAAUUGCAGCCCAAACUCUCUCUCUUUAGACUCUCGGUCCUUCUCUCUCUCCCAUCUCUCCUUUACCUCAAUCACAGCCGACACUCCCCUCUCUCAAACCAGCCGCACGCCUCUUCUCCCUCUCACUCUCGACUCGCCUUCACACGAGGCGUCCGCCGCCGAGACUCCAGCCGUCAUCUGCUUCGGUUGGCUUCGACCGGCGACGUCAUCUCUCUUCCUCAAUCUGCACGCAGAGUUCAAAAUCAAGCCCUAACUUCUCCUGGUAAAUCGCAGCUGCCGCACCUCCGUAUGGAAUCCGGCGAGCGGUCGGCGCCGGUCGUGGCCGUCUCUCUCUCCCUUCUGAAUCCGACGGCUGCUGUCUUCUGGAGCCAUCGCCGACUAGAGUUGCUGCUGCUCGGGCUCGGUACCGGUCGAACAGAGCGGUUGCGUCUCGUUCGUGGCUGCGUCGGCUGUUCUUCUCAACCCAAUGAAGGUGCAGCAGAAGCCCUAAUUUCCUCUCCGAUUUUGAACCGCCUCUCCCUCUCUCCCCGCUCAGCGCCGCGGCGUUUUGUAAAUCCGGCGAUAGCAGCCCCAGCCACCACCGCUCCUUCCGUCGUUGGGCCCUAGUUCUCAGAAAAAGGGAAAAACGCAACUGUCGAGCGACCGCUGCUGCUGCGCACGAGUCUCAGCUCGUCGCCGGGCAGCUGCUGUUCGGGGCUCUGAUGAGGUUGGACGAGUUCGCCCUGUCCCGACCGUCGUCGUCGUCCCCGUCCCCGUCGGGCAGUCAGCCCUUCUACAGCUAAGUUCAAUACUUAAGUCUAUGUGGAGUCUUGGUUUUUGCUACUGAUUUAUGAGAGUUUUCUCAUUGCCUUUAUCUUAAGUGAAGAAAAUAUAUACUGAUUUCUGUAUUAUGCAAGAGAUAAAACUAAGUUCGUGGUUUACUAAUGUAUCAAGAAUUUUCCUUGCUUGCCUCGUGUGAUAAGAAAAUAUAGCAUAAACUGAUUUCGAUUGCUAAGUCCCUGUGUGCAUAUAUAUACACACCUGUAUACUAUGUAUUUCCUUUUUAAACAUAUGCUUGAUGAUAUGAUGUAUGAACUGGAGCUGAGCUAAGUAUAUACCUGCUAUGCUUGGUGUUGGUGGCUGUUUGUUGCUAUUGAAUUCAAUGGGGAAGGAACUGAAAUUGCAAAUAUUGUUUUCUCAACAAAUGCAGAAAGAACCAAGUAUGGAAUGAAGAAAACUUAGGCCAAGACUCACCUCUCGAUACUUGGCAGUUGGCAGCAGCUUAAUGAAUUUUCCUCGCUUUGGUGGUUGAAGGAACUAGUAGCCUUAAAGAACUUAAAGAAUUGAAGAUGGUGGGGAGCAAAGUGGAAAAAUGUAGUGGAGGAAAGCAAAAGGUGGUGGCGUGGAGUGGAGUUAUUGGGAAGUUUGGUGGUCGGCUCUUUCAUAUACAUUCCCUACUUUUGAAUUUUCUCUCUUAUUGACUAAUGUGCCUACACUUGAGUGAAGGCAUUAAGUAAGCCUCGUAGAGUCCAAUCCUUUGUAAUAUACUAAACGAUUUUUCCCAAGCUGGGAACUAGCCUGUAAUCUAUAAACUGUAAAUAAAUACUGGCUUCGAUUUUAAAUCAUCGCA